rnacentral:miRNA from 1 species
UAUGUAUGUGUGUGUUUGUGUGUGUAUGUAUUAUUAUAAUACAUACACACACAAACACACACAUACAUAUC